rnacentral:rRNA from 1 species
ACUUGCAGCAUUUGUGGAAAUUGUACGGAGAAUGAGCAUCAUGCUGUGAUUAUGUGUACAAAAAGCAGGGCCUUAAGGGAUGCCAUGAGGGAGAUAUGGAAUCUACCUGAUGAAAGCAAAUUUUGGUACACAGGCGAGAACUGGUUACAAGUGCUGCUUGAUACUGAAUGUGAGGAGACGCGCACCAAAAUUCUAUUGCUUAUCUGGCGAUGCUGGCACCUGAGAGAAGACUGCAUCCGCAAUAACGGAAGAGAAUCAAUUGGGGGCUCAAUGCAGUUCUUGAAGCAGUACGAGGAGGACCCGAGAAAGGCAGCAGACUCAGCUGAAUGGACGGAUGGAAAAGUUACAGAAACUUCCCAUGGCUCCUACGCCCGGGGCGAUGUACCCCCUGACCGUGUGCUGAAGACACAGACGGACGGUGGAUUCCGCCGGAACGCGGGGUAG